UGAUCCAGCCAUGCCGCGUGAGUGAUGAAGGCCUUAGGGUCGUAAAGCUCUUUCGCCAGAGAUGAUAAUGACAGUAUCUGGUAAAGAAACCCCGGCUAACUCCGUGCCAGCAGCCGCGGUAAUACGGAGGGGGUUAGCGUUGUUCGGAAUUACUGGGCGUAAAGCGCGCGUAGGCGGAUUAGUAAGUUAGAGGUGAAAUCCCGGGGCUCAACCCCGGAACUGCCUUUAAUACUGCUAGUCUUGAGUCCGAGAGAGGUGAGUGGAAUUCCGAGUGUAGAGGUGAAAUUCGUAGAUAUUCGGAGGAACACCAGUGGCGAAGGCGGCUCACUGGCUCGAUACUGACGCUGAGGUGCGAAAGUGUGGGGAGCAAACAGGAUUAGAUACCCUGGUAGUCCACACCGUAAACGAUGAAUGCCAGUCGUCGGGUAGCAUGCUAUUCGGUGACACACCUAACGGAUUAAGCA
rnacentral:rRNA from 1 species